CUGUAUUACCCAUACAUUCACCCGGUUUCACUGCAUGUCUUAACUCCAGACCGUCCUCCGGGUCAUCCUCCAGGUACGCCCCCGCCUGCAGCGCAACAGUGGCCACUGAAGAGACAGCGGGCUGGAUGGGCUUAGUGGAGAGAGUGUUAGAAGGACCUCGUGUACGGUAUGCUUUCAACAUGUUAAUGUGACAUGUCCGUAACGAACGCCUACGGUCUGGGGUCUUUAUUACAUAGUUAGUAUCGCUGAGCUUACUAUCAAUCACAUAUGGACCUGAGAAACGGGCUGAGAGAGACGACCCUGGAACGGGCAACAAUGCUAGAACUAGCUCUCCCGGCACAAACGAACGCUCAACAGUCCCCUUAUCAUAACGCAUUUUCAUACGCUUCUGUGCAGUCGAGAGGGACUCUUUAGCUAUUGCGCAGGCUGCAUGUAGCCUCUCCCUCAUCUGGCCAACGAAGUCCAUCACAUUCUUAGGGGCACUGACAGACGUGGGGGACAAAACGUUUUCCUUCAGAACCUUCAACGGUCCUCUUAGUGUAUGUCCGAACACUAAAUCAGCAGGGCUAAAACCUAACGACUCUUGCACUGUUUCCCUACUAGCAAACAACACAAAUGGCACUCCCUCAUCCCAAUUUGGAUUAUCCAUACAGUAUUUUCGGAGCAUCGAUUUGAGGGUCUGGUGCCACCGCUCGAGUGCUCCCUGGCUUUCCGGAUGAUACGCACUCGAGACCUGGACCCACACAAUCCACGAUUACCCGUUCGAACGGUUCUCCCAGCACAGGAAUCGGAUGCAGAGGCGCCCGAGGGAUGACCUGGUUCGCUUUUCCUGUUAGUUGGCAUUCAUGACAGGUGCCCAGCCCAAGCAGGGUCAUGUGCUAGGGAUAACACUUGCUGUCUGAAUGGUUUAGGGACGACCACCUGCUUGACAACCCCUAAACCC
ensembl:lncRNA